rnacentral:rRNA from 1 species
UGGGGAAUAUUGGACAAUGGGCGGAAGCCUGAUCCAGCAAUACCACGUGUGUGAAGAAGGCCUUAGGGUUGUAAAGCACUUUCAGAGGGGAGGAAGUGAGCUAGGUUAAGAGCUAGGUUUAUUGACGUUACCUUCAGAAGAAGCACCGGCUAACUCCGUGCCAGCAGCCGCGGUAAUACGGAGGGUGCGAGCGUUAAUCGGAAUUACUGGGCGUAAAGGGUUCGUAGGCGGUUAUAUAAGUCAGAUGUGAAAGCCCUGGGCUCAACCUAGGAACUGCACCUGAAACUGUAUAACUAGAGUAUAGUAGAGGAGAGGGGAAUUUCCGGUGUAGCGGUGAAAUGCGUAGAUAUCGGAAGGAACAUCAGUGGCGAAGGCGACUCUCUGGACUAAUACUGACGCUGAGGGACGAAAGCAUGGGUAGCAAACAGG